rnacentral:tRNA from 1 species
GGAGAGAUGCCUGAGCGGUUAAAGGAGCAGUUUGCUAAACUGUCAUCGGGAGACCGAUGCGUGGGUUCGAAUCCCAUUCUCUCCU